AUGGAGGAGGUUGAAGAGCAGCCGGAUGCAGUAAUCGGUAAGUUUUUGGUUAAGUCAUUUACUGCACUCGUUCUUUUCGAUACUGGUGCAUCGCAUUCAUACAUAUCAAGAGGAUUUGUGGAUAAGUAUAAACUGCCAACCCAAGCCCUUAGGUCACCCAUGUUAGUAACCUCGCCUGGAGCAGAAUAUAUGGCUAGUCUAUGGUGUGAUCGGUUACCAUUAAGGAUUGGUAACUAUGUUUUUCCCUCAGACCUAAUAGUAUUGGAAUCCCAAGGAUUGGAUGUGAUACUAGGCAUGGAUUGGUUAUCAAAGUAUGAAGGGAAUAUUGAA
rnacentral:rRNA from 1 species